GAUGAACGCUGGCGGUAUGCCUAACACAUGCAAGUCGUACGAGAGUUUUUAACUCUAGUGGCGGACGGGUGAGUAACACGUGAGAAUUUGCCUUUAGGAGGGGGACAACAAUCGGAAACGAAUGCUAAUACCCCAUAUGCUUUCGAGUGAAAUGGAUUUUAUCCGCCUAGAGAGAAGCUCGCGGCUGAUUAGCUUGUUGGUAAGGUAAGAGCUUACCAAGGCGACGAUCAGUAUCUGGUUUGAGAGGACGAUCAGACACACUGGAACUUAGACACGGUCCAGACUCCUACGGGAGGCAGCAGUGGGGAAUUUUCCGCAAUGGGCGAAAGCCUGACGGAGCAAUACCGCGUGAGGGAAGAAUGCCUAUGGGUUGUAAACCUCUUUUUUCAGGGAGGAAUCAAAUGACGUGUACCUGAAGAAUAAGCAUCGGCUAACUCCGUGCCAGCAGCCGCCGUAAAAC
rnacentral:rRNA from 1 species